AGUGAACGCUGGCGGUAGGCCUAACACAUGCAAGUCGAACGGCAGCACAGUAAGAGCUUGCUCUUACGGGUGGCGGGUGGCGGACGGGUGAGGAAUACAUCGGAAUCUACUUUUUCGUGGGGGAUAACGUAGGGAAACUUACGCUAAUACCGCAUACGACCUACGGGUGAAAGCAGGGGAUCUUCGGACCUUGCGCGAUUGGAUGAGCCGAUGUCGGAUUAGCUAGUUGGCGGGGUAAAGGCCUACCAAGGCGACGAUCCGUAGCUGGUCUGAGAGGAUGAUCAGCCACACUAGAACUGAGACACGGUCCAGACUCCUACGGGAGGCAGCAGUGGGGAAUGUUGGACAAUGGGCGCAAGCCUGAUCCAGCCAUACCGCGUGGGUGAAGAAGGCCUUCGGGUUGUAAAGCCCUUUUGUUGGGAAAGAAAAGCAGCAGGUUAAUACCCCGCUGUUCUGACGGUACCCAAAGAAUAAGCACCGGCUAACUUCGUG
rnacentral:rRNA from 1 species